AGUGAACGCUGGCGGUAGGCCUAACACAUGCAAGUCGAACGGCAGCACAGUAAGAGCUUGCUCUUACGGGUGGCGAGUGGCGGACGGGUGAGGAAUACAUCGGAAUCUACUUUUUCGUGGGGGAUAACGUAGGGAAACUUACGCUAAUACCGCAUACGACCUACGGGUGAAAGCAGGGGAUCUUCGGACCUUGCGCGAUUGAAUGAGCCGAUGUCGGAUUAGCUAGUUGGCGGGGUAAAGGCCCACCAAGGCGACGAUCCGUAGCUGGUCUGAGAGGAUGAUCGGCCACACUGGAACUGAGACACGGGCCAGACUCCUACGGGAGGCAGCAGUGGGGAAUAUUGGACAAUGGGCGCAAGCCUGAUCCAGCCAUACCGCGUGGGUGAAGAAGGCCGUCGGGGUGUAAAGCCCUUUUGGUGGGAAAGAAAAGCAGCAGGUUAAUACCCCGCUGUUCUGACGGUACCCAAAGAAUAAGCACCGGCUAACUUCG
rnacentral:rRNA from 1 species